GACGAACGCUGGCGGCGUGCUUAACACAUGCAAGUCGAACGGAAAGGCCCUGCUUUUGUGGGGUGCUCGAGUGGCGAACGGGUGAGUAACACGUGAGUAACCUGCCCUUGACUUUGGGAUAACUUCAGGAAACUGGGGCUAAUACCGGAUAGGAGCUCCUGCUGCAUGGGGGGGGUUGGAAAGAUUCGGCGGUUUGGGAUGGACUCGCGGCUUAUCAGCUUGUUGGUGGGGUAGUGGCUUACCAAGGCUUUGACGGGUAGCCGGCCUGAGAGGGUGAACGGCCACCAUGGGCCUGCGAUACGGCCCAGACUCCUACGUGAGGCAGCAGGGGGGAAUAUUGCACAAUGGGCGGAAGCCUGAUGCAGCAACGCCGCGUGCGGGAUGAUGGCCUUCGGGUGGUAAACAGAUGUCGCAUGUGCCGAAGAGUGAGUGACGGUAAUGAGUAAAGAAGCACCGGCUAACUACGUG
rnacentral:rRNA from 1 species